rnacentral:tRNA from 1 species
UUGGCCCAGUUGUUCAGAGUGUGAUGCUGAUAACAUCAAGGUCUUGGGUUCAAUACCCAGA